GUGUCAGCCGCCGCGGCAAUACAGGGGGUGCGAGCGUUGUUCGGAAUUACUGGGCGUAAAGAGCGCGUAGGCGGUUUAGUAAGUCAGAUGUGAAAGCCCGGAGCCCAACUCCGGAAGUGCAUUUGAAACUACUAGGCUCGAGUGCAGUAGAGGAUGGCGGAAUACCCAGUGUAGAGGUGAAAUUCGUAGAUAUUGGGUAGAACACCGGUGGCGAAGGCGGCCAUCUGGGCUGUAACUGACGCUGAGGCGCGAAAGCGUGGGGAGCAAACAGGAUUAGAUACCCUGGUAGUCC
rnacentral:rRNA from 1 species